rnacentral:tRNA from 1 species
GCCAUUGUGGUGUAAUGGUCAGCACACUCGGCUCGUAUUCGAGAUGUCCAGGGUUCGAAUCCCAGGGAGGGCG